rnacentral:rRNA from 1 species
AACGAACGCUGGCGGCGUGCUUAAUACAUGCAAGUCGAGCGAGAAAGCCCCUUUCGGGGGGUGAGUACAGCGGCGAACGGGUGCGUAACACGUGGGCAAUCUGCCCUCAAGUCCGGGACAAGCCACCGAAAGGGGGUCUAAUACCGGAUGUGGUCGUCCUGAGGCAUCUCGGGACGAGCAAAGGUAGCCACUACACUAUGCUAUCGCUUGGGGAUGAGCCCGCGGCCCAUUAGCUUGUUGGCGGGGUAACGGCCCACCAAGGCUUCGAUGGGUAGCCGGCCUGAGAGGGUGAUCGGCCACACUGGGACUGAGAUACGGCCCAGACUCCUACGGGAGGCAGCAGUAGGGAAUAUUGCGCAAUGGACGAAAGUCUGACGCAGCAACGCCGCGUGAGCGAUGAAGGUCUUCGGAUCGUAAAGCUCUGUCAGAGGGGACGAACCGUCCCGGGUCGAACAGACUCGGGAUCUGACGGUACCCUCAGAGGAAGCACCGGCCAACUCCGUG